ACGGGAGGCAGCAGUGGGGAAUAUUGGACAAUGGGGGAAACCCUGAUCCAGCGACGCCGCGUGAGUGAAGAAGUAUUUCGGUAUGUAAAGCUCUAUCAGCAAGGAAGAAAAUGACGGUACUUGACUAAGAAGCCCCGGCUAACUACGUGCCAGCAGCCGCGGUAAUACGUAGGGGGCAAGCGUUAUCCGGAUUUACUGGGUGUAAAGGGAGCGUAGACGGCAUAGCAAGUCUGAAGUGAAAUGCAUGGGCUCAACCCAUGAACUGCUUUGGAAACUGUUAAGCUAGAGUGCGGGAGAGGUAAGUGGAAUUCCUAGUGUAGCGGUGAAAUGCGUAGAUAUUAGGAGGAACACCGGUGGCGAAGGCGGCUUACUGGACUGUAACUGACGUUGAGGCUCGAAAGCGUGGGGAGCAAACAGGAUUAGAUACCCUGGUA
rnacentral:rRNA from 1 species